CUGCUGCUAGCCGGCUUCCUUCUGCCUGGGUUCCUGCUCUCAGAGGCCGCCAAAAUUCUAACUCUGUCUUUGGUGGGUGGAAGCCAUCAUCUACUGCUGGACCGGGUGUCUCAAAUUCUUCAAGAUCAUGGUCAUAAUGUCACUAUGCUUCACCAGAGAGGAAAUUCAUUAAUAUCAGAUUUUAAAGAGAAGGAAAAAUCAUACCAAGUUAUUUCUUGGUUUCCACCUGAAGAUUAUAACAAAAGAUUGAAGGAGAAUUUU